GAUGGACGCUAGCUACAGGCUUAACACAUGCAAGUCGAGGGGCAGCACGGUGUAGCAAUACACGGGUGGCGACCGGCGCACGGGUGCGUAACGCGUAUCCAACCUUCCCGUUACUCUUGGAUAGCCUUCCGAAAGGGAGAUUAAUACAAGAUGGUGUUGAAAUUCCGCAUGUUAUUUCAACUAAAGAUUUAUCGGUAACGGAUGGGGAUGCGUGACAUUAGAUAGAUGGCGGGGUAACGGCCCACCAUGUCCACGAUGUCUAGGGGUUCUGAGAGGAAGGUCCCCCACACUGGAACUGAGACACGGUCCAGACUCCUACGGGAGGCAGCAGUGAGGAAUAUUGGUCAAUGGCCGGAAGGCUGAACCAGCCAAGUAGCGUGAAGGAUGAAGGUUCUAUGGAUUGUAAACUUCUUUUAUACGGGAAUAAAACCUCCCACGUGUGGGAGCUUGUAUGUACCGUAUGAAUAAGCAUCGGCUAACUCCGUG
rnacentral:rRNA from 1 species